GGAAGGCAGCAGGCACGCAAAUUACCCAAUCCCGGCUCGGGGAGGUAGUGACGAAAAAUAACGACGCUGGACUCUACGAGACCCAGUCGUCGGAAUGAGUACGCUCUAAACCCUCUAACGAGGACCUACUGGAGGGCAAGACUAAUGCCAGCCGCUGCGGUAAUUUUAGCUCCAGUGGCGUAUACUAAAAUUGUUGCAGUUAAAAAGCUCGUAGUUGGAUGUCUGCUCUGGACGUAGGGGGCCGCUCGCGCGGUCCGCCAUGCGCACCCGGCAUUCUGCUCGCCACUCGGGGGUCGGUUUUCACCGGUCGGCCCUCGGUGGUCGGCGGUUAUCGCUUUGCAAAAAUUAGAGUGCUUCAAGCGGGCUCACCCAGGCUCGAAUAGUAAUGCACGGUACGAUGGAACAUGACUUCGGAUCUAGGUCCUCGGGGACAGACGGAGACCGAGGUGAUGAUUAAUAGGAGCAGACGGGGGCAUUCGUAUUCCGACGCUAGAGGUGAAAUUCUUGGACCGUCGGAAGACGACCCACUGCGAAAGCAUUUGCCAAGAAUGUUUCCCUUAACCAAGAACGAAAGUCAGAGGCUCAAAGAAGAUUAGAUACCUUUGUAGUUCUGACCCUAAACGAUGCCAGCCAGCGAUCCGGCUGCGUACGGUUGUGACGCGCCGGGCAGCUCGUCCGGGAAACCUGAGUUCAGGCUCC
rnacentral:rRNA from 1 species